rnacentral:sRNA from 1 species
UGAGAGCGAUCUGGCUGUGACAUCUGUCACCCUGAUGAGCUGAUGGUCGCCAGAGUUGAUUUGUUUGAUCUGGCUGGCUAAUCCCCUUCAUCCCUCA